rnacentral:rRNA from 1 species
UACGGAGGGUGCGAGCGUUGUCCGGAAUCACUGGGCGUAAAGGGCGCGUAGGCGGCCUGAUAAGUAGGGGGUGAAAUCUUGCGGCUUAACCGCAAGGCUGCCUUCUAAACUGUCGGGCUCGAGCACAGUAGAGGCAGGUGGAAUUCCCGGUGUAGCGGUGGAAUGCGUAGAGAUCGGGAGGAACACCAGUGGCGAAAGCGGCUCUCUGGUCCAAAACUGACGCUGAGGGGCGAAAGCGUGGGGAGCGAACGGG